rnacentral:rRNA from 1 species
GACGAACGCUGGCGGCGUGCUUAACACAUGCAAGUCGAACGGAAAGGCCCUGCUUUUGUGGGGUGCUCGAGUGGCGAACGGGUGAGUAACACGUGAGUAACCUGCCCUUGACUUUGGGAUAACUUCAGGAAACUGGGGCUAAUACCGGAUAGGAGCUCCUGCUGCAUGGUGGGGGUUGGAAAGUUUCGGCGGUUGGGGAUGGACUCGCGGCUUAUCAGCUUGUUGGUGGGGUAGUGGCUUACCAAGGCUUUGACGGGUAGCCGGCCUGAGAGGGUGACCGGACAUAUGGGGACCGGGACACCGCCUGUACGACUGAGUGGAGAAGAGGGGGCGAAAGUUGGACACGGGGCGGAACCGGGAUACAGACACGCGGUGUGCGGGCGGUCGGCGUCGCGGUUGUCACCCUCUCUCGCCGGUCGGGAGGGGGGAGGGACGGUAAUGAGAAAAGAAGCCCAGGCUAACUACUUGCCAGAAGACGCUAUAAUAAUCGGCAAGCACAGGUAUGACC